UUAUUAUUUUUUUUUUUUUUUUUGGUUCUGAAACAAUCGGGUUUAAUCUAAAUCUCUCCGUCCCGCACACUCACCGCCCGCCACCCCCUCUCUCAUGGCCCCUUCAUCAUCGGAGCAUCCGGAGAAAUUUUUCUGUCAAUUGAUGGACUACGAAAGCUCGUCUGCUAAUUUACCAGAUGCCCACCCUUCUCAAUGAGAUUUGGAACCCCAACCCCAAUCUCAAAUGCCCACUCUUCUCUUUGAAAGGAGUACUACAGAAGAAGAACAAUGAGUCGCAAAUAGGCACCAAAUGCUACUUGUUUGAUGGGAGUUGGAUUUACGAUGAUACAUACCCACUCUACGACACAUCCAGCUGCCCUUUUAUUGACAGAGAGUUCGACUGUCAGAAAAAUGGACGCCCGGAUAGUCAAUAUCUCAAGUAUAGAUGGAAGCCUAAGGGUUGUGCAUUGCCCAGAUUCAAUGGUCAGGACUUCUUGAGGAGAUUAAAGGGGAAGAAGAUAUUAUUCGUAGGGGACUCUCUGAGCUAUAACCAGUGGCAGUCACUAACAUGUAUGCCCCAAAGCCAAAUGGGUCGAUUCUAACGUUGGCAACACCAAAGUUUUCUUUCAGGGCAUCCCCCUUUAUUAUGUUUUUGGGAUUAGGGAAAAUAGAUAAAGCUUUUAUUCCACUGCUGGAAGAAGUCUGUUUGUGGCAUCCUUCGUUGAUUAGCUGCCAAAGGAAAAGAAGUCGCAUGUUUAGUGAAUGGGCAUUCACAGCUUUAUUAGGUUUGGAUCAACUUCGCUCUGGACUUCUUCAGCAACAAAAACCUUUUAUACAAGCUCCCAGCCCUUUCAUCAGCUUCAAAUGCUGACACCACAACACCAGCAACAACUUAUGCUUGCCCAGCAAAAUUUGACAUCCCCAUCUGCUAGUGAUGAUAGUAGAAGACUAAGAAUGCUAUUGAAUAAUCGAAGUAUGGGGCUUGGAAAGGAUGGCCUUUCAAAUUCCGUUGGCGAUGUAGUGCCAAAUGUAGGAUCACCUCUUCAAGCUGCAGGCUCUAUGAUGCCUCGUGGAGAUACAGAUAUGCUGAUGAAGGUCACAAAAAACCAGCCUGGGAGGAAGAGAAAGCAGCCGGUGUCAUCUUCAGGCCAUCAUGUGUCCCCCUGUGGCUUACGCUCAAUACAUGAGAAUAAUGGAGACUGGUUUAGCUUGUAAUCCAUAUUUGAAACCGUUGAACAGAUCACAAUUUCCAUUAAAAGCUAAAAUAUUUAGAUAGAGAAA